rnacentral:rRNA from 1 species
GACGAACGCUGGCGGCGUGCUUAACACAUGCAAGUCGAACGGAAAGGCCCUGCUUUUGUGGGGUGCUCGAGUGGCGAACGGGUGAGUAACACGUGAGUAACCUGCCCUUGACUUUGGGAUAACUUCAGGAAACUGGGGCUAAUACCGGAUAGGAGCUCCUGCUGCAUGGUGGGGGUUGGAAAGUUUCGGCGGUUGGGGAUGGACUCGCGGCUUAUCAGCUUGUUGGUGGGGUAGUGGCUUACCAAGGCUUUGACGGGUAGCCGGCCUGAGAGGGUGACCGGCCACAUUGGGACUGAGAUACGGCCAAGACUCCGACGGGAGGCAGAAGUGGGGAAUAUUGAACAAUGGGCGGAAGCCUGAUGCAGCAACGCCGCGUGCGGGAUGACGGCCUUCGGGUUGUAAACCGCUUUCGCCUGUGACGAAGCGUGAGUGACGGUAAUGGGUAAAGAAGCACCGGCUAACUACGUG